rnacentral:rRNA from 1 species
UACAGAGGUGGCAAGCGUUGUUCGGAAUUACUGGGCGUAAAGCGUGCGCAGGCGGCUCGAUGCGUCGUGCGUGAAACACCCCGGCUCAACUGGGGAGGGUCGUGCGAUACGGUCGGGCUGGAGGCCAGUAGGGGGAUGCGGAAUUCCGGGUGUAGCGGUGGAAUGCGUAGAGAUCCGGAAGAACACCGGUGGCGAAGGCGGCCUGCUGGGCAGUAGCCGAAAGGCUUGAAAGCUGACGCUGAGGCGCGACAGCGUGGGGAGCAAACAGG